rnacentral:rRNA from 1 species
UGGGGAAUUUUGGACAAUGGGCGAAAGCCUGAUCCAGCAAUGCCGCGUGUGUGAAGAAGGCCUUCGGGUUGUAAAGCACUUUUGUCCGGAAAGAAAUCCUUGGCUCUAAUACAGUCGGGGGAUGACGGUACCGGAAGAAUAAGCACCGGCUAACUACGUGCCAGCAGCCGCGGUAAUACGUAGGGUGCAAGCGUUAAUCGGAAUUACUGGGCGUAAAGCGUGCGCAGGCGGUUUGCUAAGACCGAUGUGAAAUCCCCGGGCUCAACCUGGGAACUGCAUUGGUGACUGGCAGGCUAGAGUAUGGCAGAGGGGGGUAGAAUUCCACGUGUAGCAGUGAAAUGCGUAGAGAUGUGGAGGAAUACCGAUGGCGAAGGCAGCCCCCUGGGCCAAUACUGACGCUCAUGCACGAAAGCGUGGGGAGCAAACAGGAUUAGAUACCCUGGUAGUCCACGCCCUAAACGAUGUCAACUAGUUGCUGGGGAUUCAUUUCCUUAGUAACGUAGCUAACGCGUGAAGUUGACCGCCUGGGGAGUACGGUCGCAAGAUUAAAACUCAAGGAAUUGACGGGGUCAUAGCUGUUUCCU